GUUUAGAUCUCAGACAGUCUGAAUACAGAGACCUGCACUCUAGCAUAAAAGAGCAGAGACCUUAGGGAAAUACCUAAGAUGCACCCUGGGGUUAUGGCCUGCCUAUUAUAUUC